rnacentral:rRNA from 1 species
GAUGAACGCUGGCUACAGGCUUAACACAUGCAAGUCGAGGGACCGGCGCACGGGUGAGUAACACGUAUCCAACCUGCCCUUUACUCGUGGAUAGCCUUUCGCAAGAAAGAUUAAUACCCGAUAUAAAGGAUGGGGAUGCGUUUCAUUAGGGUGUUGGUGAGGUAACGGCCCACCAAGCCUUCGAUGGCUAGGGGUUCUGAGAGGAAGGGCCCCCAGAUUGGAACUGCGGCACGGUCCAAACUCGUACGGGAGGCAGCAGUGAGGAAGAUAAGGCAAUGGGCGUUAGCCUGAACCAGCCAAGUAGCGGGAAGGAUGAAGGCUUAUGGGUCGUAAACUUCUUGUAUAUAAGAAUAUGUAUUAUAUGAAUAAGGAUCGGCUAACUCCGUGCCAGCAGCCGCGGUAAUAC